rnacentral:rRNA from 1 species
UACGUAGGGGGCAAGCGUUAUCCGGAUUUACUGGGUGUAAAGGGGGCGCAGACGGCGAUGCAAGCCAGGAGUGAAAGCCCGGGGCCCAACCCCGGGACUGCUCUUGGAACUGCGUGGCUGGAGUGCAGGAGGGGUAGGCGGAAUUCCCGGUGUAGCGGUGAAAUGCGUAGAUAUCAGGAGGAACACCGGUGGCGAAGGCGGCCUGCUGGACUGCAACUGACGUUGAGGCCCGAAAGCGUGGGGAGCAAACAGG